GACGAACGCUGGCGGCGUGCUUAACACAUGCAAGUCGAACGGAAAGGCCUGCUUUCCCUUGUGGAUUGCGGGUACUCGAGUGGCGAACGGGUGAGUAACACGUGAGUGAUCUGCCCCCAACUUGGGUAUAAGCCUGGGAAACUGGGUCUAAUUCCCGAUAGGACUGCAGGGUGGUGCCUGUGGUGGAAAACGAUUUUCUAGUGGUUGGGGAUGAGCUCGCGGCCUAUCAGCUUGUUGGUGGGGUAAUGGCCUACCAAGGCGGCGACGGGUAGCCGGCCUGGGAGGGGGGACGGCAACAGUGGGAGUGGGAACCGCCCCAGACGCGUGGGGGAGAAGGGGGGGGGGAAUAUGGCACGAGGGGGGGAACCCGGAGGCAGCGCCGCGGGGGGGGGGAGGCCGGCCUUGGGGUUGUAACCUCCUUGGGACGGAGGGGAAGCCCCGUGGGGGGAGGGGUGGGGAGGGUAGGGGAAGAAAAAGCCCCGGCUAACUACGGC
rnacentral:rRNA from 1 species